GCUUGCUGGAAGAGAAGUUGAGUGUAAGACUCUAGGAGGAUUCUGGGAUCCUUAACCCCAGGUGCCCUUCUCUUGAAAGCCCCAAGGCUUCCCCUUCCCGCUCACCUACUUAGACUGCCCUCCUCCCUCCUCGUGCCCCCACAUUACACUCCCUGCCUCUUUCCAUGAUGAAGCAGAUAAUUCCCUUUUACCCUGAAUGCCUUCUCUUCUCACCCUCCUCCCCUACUCCAGUGCCAACCGAACCAUCACUCGUGUACGAAGCAGUGUGCAACAGGCAGAACCGGCCUUCAUUGGCUGAGCUGCCCCAAGCCGGGCCUGAGACUCCCGGCUUAGAAGGACUGAAGGAGCUAAUGCAGCUCUGCUGGAGCAGUGAGCCCAAGGACAGACCCUCCUUCCAGGAAUGCCUACCAAAAACUGAUGAAGUCUUCCAGAUGGUGGAGAACAAUAUGAAUGCUGCUGUCUCCACGGUGAGAUUUCCUGUCUCAGCUCAGGAGCAGCAAUAGGAGAUUUUCUAUCCCAGAGUCAGGCCAAGGAGGGACAGAAAUGGAUGGCUUUAGGAGAACCAUAGAAAACCAGCACUCUCGUAAUGAUGUCAUGGUUUCUGAGUGGCUAAACAAACUGAAUCUAGAGGAGCCUCCCAGCUCUGUUCCUAAAAAAUGCCCGAGCCUUACCAAGAGGAGCAGGGCACAAGAGGAGCAGGUUCCACAAGCCUGGACAGCAGGCACAUCUUCAGAUUCGAUGGCCCAACCUCCCCAGACUCCAGAGACCUCAACUUUCAGAAACCAGAUGCCCAGCCCUACCUCAACUGGAACACCAAGUCCUGGACCCCGAGGGAAUCAGGGGGCUGAGAGACAAGGCAUGAACUGGUCCUGCAGGACCCCGGAGCCAAAUCCAGUAACAGGGCGACCGCUCGUUAACAUAUACAACUGCUCUGGGGUGCAAGUUGGAGACAACAACUACUUGACUAUGCAACAGACAACUGCCUUGCCCACAUGGGGCUUGGCACCUUCGGGCAAGGGGAGGGGCUUGCAGCACCCCCCACCAGUAGGUUCGCAAGAAGGCCCUAAAGAUCCUGAAGCCUGGAGCAGGCCACAGGGUUGGUAUAAUCAUAGCGGGAAAUAAAGCACCUUCCAAGCUUGCCUCCAAGAGUUACGAGUUAAGGAAGAGUGCCACCCCUUGAGGCCCCUGACUUCCUUCUAGGGCAGUCUGGCCUGCCCACAAACUGACUUUGUGACCUGUCCCCCAGGAGUCAAUAAACAUGAUGGAAUGCUAG
rnacentral:lncRNA from 1 species